UACGUAGGGGGCAAGCGUUGUCCGGAAUCAUUGGGCGUAAAGAGCGCGUAGGCGGCCCUGUAAGUCCGCUGUGAAAGUCAAGGGCUCAACCCUUGGAUGCCGGUGGAUACUGCAGGGCUAGAGUCCGGAAGAGGCGAGUGGAAUUCCUGGUGUAGCGGUGAAAUGCGCAGAUAUCAGGAGGAACACCGAUGGCGAAGGCAGCUCUCUGGGACGGUACUGACGCUGAGACGCGAAAGCGUGGGGAGCGAA
rnacentral:rRNA from 1 species